UCCUGUUGAGUUUCAGAUUUUGCUCCAAGAGACUUUUUUGUAGGUAUUGGAGAGUUACAUGUGUAUACCGAUUUUCAUACAUGUACAUGAAACGUAGCUCGAGGCGCACACCGUUGAACGUGUAUAGGUGGCGCUGUUGAGCCAUUUUGCCACACCCACUUCUGAAACCCAUAUCAGACGUAAAUUUUCGCCAGUUCUGAGGUGUGUGCAAAGUUUCAUGACUUUUCGAGCAUGUUUAGGCCCUCAAAAAUGCGAUUCAUUUUGGAGAAGAAGAAUAAUAAUAAUAAUAAUAAUAAUAAUAAUAAUAAUAAUAAUAAACGGAGCAAUUCCAAGAGGGUCCUCACACCAUCGGUGCUCGGGCCCUAAUUAAAGCUGCAAGCAGCGAUGAACGGGCCCUCGCACCCGGGCUCACCGGCAGCGAGUGGCUUUAGUUAAUAGGUGAACGGUGAGAAAUAUGCGUUUAAACUCAUAAAUAUAAGUAGAAUAUAUAAAUGUUUAUUCCAUAUAUGUGCCAAUCUUCCUGUUGCCAGCAGGUGGCGUUAUCAUUAUAAUGGAAUAUUGGCCUUCAGAUGUGUUCAGGGCAGGACUUUUAUCGAACAUGUGAAGUUUGGGGAGGAUUGGACAUUUUAUGCCUGAGUUACAACAACAUCCUAUUUCAUGGCGAAACAUCGAAAUUUGUCAGGCCGCCAUGGACACGCCCUUUAACGAAACCUCAAGAUCUUCGCAAUUUAAGAUCGCAAAAGGCUUUAGAUUACACUGACCAAGUUUGGUGUUGAUCUGAAUAAAUAUCUAGGAGGAGUUCGUUAAAGUACAACCCCUGAAAAUGGCCAAAACAACACUAAUUUUGCAGAGAAAAUUCGAAAUAACUGACUUCCUGUUGGGAUUCGGAUUUCGUACCAAGAUACUUUUUUUUAGAUAUUGGUGUGUUACAUGUGUGUACCGAUUUUUUGUACAUGUACGUGAAACAUAGCUCGAGGCGCACUCCGUUUAAAGUGUAUACGCACUCCGUUGAAAGUGUAUAGGUGGCGCUAUCGAGCCAUUUUGCCACACUCGAUGGAAUAUUGGCCUUCAGAUCUGUUCAGGCCAGGACCCUUAUCACACAAGUGAAGUUUGGGCAAGAUCGGACAUUUUAUGCCUGAGUUAUAACAUCUUUUAUUCCCAUGGCGAGACAUCGAACUUCAUCACGGCGCCAUGGACACACCUUUUAACAAAAACUCAAGAUCUUCACAACUAAACAUCACACAGGUCUUUAGAUUAGACUGACCACAAAAAAUACAUUGAUGUCAUAAAAUUUCUAGGAGUAGUUUGUCGCAGUGUAAAAUAUGUAACUUCCUGUUGCCAAUAGGUGGCGCUAUGACUAUAACUGAAUAUUGGCAUGUAGAUCUGUUCAGGUCAAGAGUCUUAUCCAACAUGUGAAGUUUGGGGCAGAUUGGACAUUGUAUGUCUGAGUUACAGCAACUUCCUUUUUCAUGGCGAAAUAUCGAAUUUUGUCAGGCCGCCAUGGACCCGCCCUUUAACGAAACCUCAAGUCCUUCGCAAUUUAUUAUCGCAAAGGGCUUUAGAUUACACUGACCAAGUUUGGUGUUGAUCUGAAUAAAUCUCUAGGAGGAGUUCGUUAAAGUACAACCCCUGAAAAUAGCAAAAACAACACCAAUUUUGAAGGGAAAAUUCAAAAUAACCGACUUCCUGUUGGGAUCCGGAUAUCGUACCAAGAGACUUUUUUGUAGGUAUUGGAGUGUUACAUGUGUGUACCAAUUUUUUUACAUGUACUUGAAACAUAGCUCGAGGCGCACUCCGUUGAAAGUGUAUAGGUGGCGCUAUAGAGCCAUUCUGCCACACCCGGUGGAAUAUUGGCCUGCAGAUCUGUUCAGGCCAGGACUCUUAUCACACAUGUGAAGUUUGGGGAAGAUCGGACAUUUUAUGCCUGAGUUAUAACAUCUUUUAUUCCCAUGGCGAGACAUCGAACUUCGUCGCGGCGCCAUGAACAAGCCUUUUAACGAAAACUCAAGAUCUUCACAACUGAACAUCGCACAGGCCUUUAGAUUAGACUGACCACAAAAAAGACAUUGAUGUCAUAAAAUUUCUAGGAGUAGUUCGUCGCAGCGUAAAAUAUGUCACUUCCUGUUGCCAAUAGGUGGCGCUAUGACUAUAACUGAAUAUGGGCAUGUCAAUCUGUUCAGGUUCGGAGUCUCAUCAAACAUGUGAAGUUUGGGGCAGAUUGGACAUUGUAUGUCUGAGUUAUAGCAACUUAAUUUUUCAUGGCGAAUCAUCGAAAUUCGCCAGGCCGCCACGAACACACCCUUCAACAAAAACUCAAGAUCUUCGCAAUUUAAAAUCGCAAAGGCCUUUAGAUUAGGCAUACCAAAUUUGGUGUUGAUUUGAAGAACUCUCUAGGAGGAGUUCGUUAAAAUACAACACAUGGAAAUGACCAAAAUUACACAAAAUAUGCUCAUAAUAUUAAAAAUAACCGACUUCCUGUUGGGUUUAGAAUUUCGCUCCAAGAGUCUUUUUUGUAGGUAUUGGUGUGUUACAUAUGUGUGCCAAUUUUCGUGCAUGUACGUGAAACAUAGCUGGAAGGCUGUUGAUUUUCUUGGUAUAGGUGGCGCUGUCGAGCCAUUUUGCCACACCCUCUUCUGAAUCCUAUAUCAGAUGAAAAUUUUCACCAGGUUUGACGCGUGUGCAAAGUUUCAUGACUUUUUGAGCAUGUUAAAGCCCUCAAAAAUGCGAUUCAUUCGGGAGAAGAAGAAGAAGAAGAAGAAGAAUAAUAAUUAAAGCUGCAAGCAGCGAUGAACGGGCCCUCGCACCCGGGCUCCCCGCCAGCGAGUGGCAUUAGUAAAAAGGUUAACGGUGAGAAAUAUGCAUUUAAAGUCAUAAAUAUGAUUGGAAUAUAUCAAAGUAUAUUCUGAAUAUGUUCCAAUCUUCCUGUUGCCAGCAGGUGGCGCUAUCAUUAUUACGGAAAAUUGGCCUUCAGAUGUGUUCAGAACAGGACUCGAACAUGUGAAGUCUGGGGAAGAUCGAACAAUUUAUGCCUGAGUUAUAACAACUUCUCUUGCUGUGGCGAGACAUCAAACUUGUCAUGGCGCCAUGGACACACCCUUUAACAAAAAUUCAAGAUCUUCAAAAGUUAACACUGCACAGGCCUUUAGAUUAGACUGACCACAAAAUAUAUAUUAAUCUCAAAAAAAAAUUCUAGGAGUAGUUUGUUGCAGCGUAAAAUAUGUCACUUCCUGUUGCCAGCAGGUGGCGCUAUGACUAUAACUGAAUAUGGGCAUGUAGAUCUGUUAAGGGCAGAAGUCUCAUCCAACAUGUGAAGUUUGGGGCAGAUUGGACAUUGUAUGUCUGAGUUACAGUAACUUCAUUUUUCAUGGCGAAACAUCGAAAUUUGUCAGGCCGCCAUGGACACGCCCUUUAACGAAACCUCAAGUCCUUCGCAAUCUAACAUCGCAAAUGGCUUUAGAUUACACUGACCAAGUUUGGUGUUGAUCUGAAUAAAUCUCUAGGAGGAGUUCGUUAAAGUACAACCCCUGAAAAUGGCAAAAACAACGCCAAUUUUGCAGGGAAAAUUCAAAAUAACCGACUUCCUGUUGGGAUUCGGAUUUCGUACCAAGAGACUUUUUUGUAGAUAUUGGUGAGUUACAUGUGUGUACCAAUUUUUGUACAUGUACGUGAAACAUAGCUCGAGGCGCACUCCGUUGAAAGUGUACAGGUGGCGCUAUCGAGCCAUUCUGCCACACCCGGUGGAAUAUUGGCCUGCAGAUCUGUUCAGGUCAGGACUCUUAUCACACAUGUGAAGUUUGGGGAUGAUCGGACAUUUUAUGCCUGAGUUAUAACAUCUUUUAUUCCCAUGGCGAGACAUCGAACUUCGCCAUGGUGCCGUGGACACGCCUUUUAACGAAAACUCAAGAUCUUCACAACUGAACAUCGCACAGGCCUUUAGAUUAGACUGACCACAAAAAAGACACUGAUGUCAAAAAAUUUCUAGGAGUAGUUUGUCACAGCGUAAAAUAUGUC